UAGGGAAUAUUGCGCAAUGGGCGAAAGCCUGACGCAGCGACGCCGCGUGUGGGAGGACGCCCCUCGGGGUGUAAACCACUGUCAGGGGGGAAGAACUCCGCCGAGGUGAACAGCCUCGGCGGCUGACGGUACCCUCAGUAGGAAGCGCCGGCUAACUCCGUGCCAGCAGCCGCGGUAACACGGGGGGCGCGAGCGUUGUUCGGAAUUACUGGGCGUAAAGCGCGGGCAGGCGGCCCGUCGAGUCGUUUGUGAAAAUCCGGGGCUUAACCCCGUGAAAUGCAGACGAUACUGGCGGGCUGGAGACCGGUAGAGGCUAGUGGAAUUCCUGGUGUAGCGGUGGAAUGCGUAGAUAUCAGGAAGAACACCGGUGGCGAAGGCGGCUAGCUGGGCCGGGUCUGACGCUCAUCCGCGAAAGCGUGGGGAGCAAACAGGAUUAGAUACCCCCGUAGUCC
rnacentral:rRNA from 1 species